UUAACUUCAGAGUAAAUACUGCGUCCUUGCCAAUAGGUGGAUCCAACCACGUCAUGAUAAACGGCAACAUUAUCUGACAAAGCCAUCUACAGCAGUAGACUAAACGACACUCAGGAUUCAAAUGGGCUGAGGCGAUUGGUUAGCUCACUCUGGCCAUACUGAAGGAAGGAUGAGAGGUGAUUGGGAAGCUCCUUGCCAUGCACAACCACACAGCUGGAGUCAUUGCUGAGUAUACUGGUGGAGCCAACAGAUGCACUGGAAUUGGGAAAGGUCAAUUUUCCAACUGGAGUCUUGUGACCAUUGGGAUGUCCCCAGAUUCAGUGUUGGGAUCAGAUGGGCUGAAGGACCUGUUUCUAUGCUGUAUAACUCUGUGACUUUCUGAUGCUUUCAAGAAGAGAAUUCCAGAUCACACAACUUGUGUGUAAAAAAAAUUCCAGAGUCUGCAUGGUUCUUGUACCAAUACUUAA